UACAGAGGUGGCGAGCGUUAAUUCGGAAUUACUGGGGCGUAAAGCGCACGUAGGCGGGAUGUGUCAGUCAGGGUGAAACUCCCGGAGCUCAACUUCGGAACUGCCUUUGAUACAGCACGUCUUGAGUCCGGAUAGAGGUGGGUGGAAUUCCUAAGUGUAGAGGUGAAAUUCGGUAGAUAUUAGGAAGAACACCGGUGGCGAAGGCG
rnacentral:rRNA from 1 species